rnacentral:misc_RNA from 1 species
GAUGAAGAACGUAGCGAAAUGCGAUACGUAAUGUGAAUUGCAGAAUUCAGUGAAUCAUCGAAUCUUUGAACGCAUAUUGCGCUCUCUGGUAUUCCGGAGAGCAUGCUUGUUUGAGUAUCAGUAAACACCUCAACUUCCAUAUCUUUUUUUGAAAUGGGAGUUGGACUUGAGUGAUCCCAACGCUUUUCCUCACCGAAAAGUGGCGGGUUACUUGAAAUGCAGGUGCAGCUGGACUUUUCUCUGAGCUAUAAGCAUAUCUAUUUAGUCGGCCUAAAAAACAGAUUAUUACCUUUGCUGCAGCUAACAUAAAGGAGAGUAGUUCUUGUGCUGACUGAUGCAGGAUUCACAAAGACAGCUUCGGCCGACUUUGUAAACUCGAUCGCAAAUCAAGGAAGACUACCCGCUGAACUUAAGCAUAUCAAUAAGCGGAGGA